AUGUGUAAAGGGUUAAUUAUUGCUGAUUAAUUAUCAUUUCCCUACAGGGGGUUUAAGGAACCUGUCUGAUUUGAUGGAGGCAUGUGGAAUAGAUCUUCCUGCAUAUUCCUGCUGCAGAGCAAGUAUGGGACUUGCUGGCAAGACAUACAUGACGCUGCUGUGAGCAAGGACAUCUGGUUCCUCAUCCACCUCCUGUCUGGGGGGAGGAGAGACUUGAACACACCAAAGAAAAAGGCCGUACU